rnacentral:rRNA from 1 species
GACAAACGCUGGCGGCGUGCCUAACACAUGCAAGUCGCACGGGGUAGCAAUACCCAGUGGCGAACGGGUGCGUAACACGUGAGGAACAUACCUAUCGGCGGGGGAUAGCCGGCCCAAUGGCCGGGUAAUACCGCGUACGCUCUCCGGGGGGCAUCUCCUGGGGAGGAAAGCAGCAAUGCACCGAUAGAGUGCCUCGCGGCCUAUCAGCUAGUUGGUGAGGUAAUGGCUCACCAAGGCGACGACGGGUAGCUGGUCUGAGAGGACGAUCAGCCACAUUGGGACUGAGACACGGCCCAGACUCCUACGGGAGGCAGCAGUGGGGAAUCUUGCGCAAUGGGCGAAAGCCUGACGCAGCGACGCCGCGUGUGGGAUGAAGGCCUUCGGGUCGUAACCGACUGUCGCGAGGGACGAAUACAUUGACGGUACCUCGAAAGGAAGCACCGGCUAACUCUGUGCCAGCAGCCGCGGUAGUACAGAGGGUGCGAGCGUU